CCUACGGGUGGCAGCAGUGAGGAAUAUUGGUCAAUGGGCGGGAGCCUGAACCAGCCAAGUCGCGUGAAGGAAGAAGGUACUUAGUAUUGUAAACUUCUUUUGUCGGGGAACAAAGGCGGAGACGCGUCUCCGGAUGAGUGUACCCGAAGAAAAAGCAUCGGCUAACUCCGUGCCAGCAGCCGCGGUAAUACGGAGGAUGCGAGCGUUAUCCGGAUUUAUUGGGUUUAAAGGGUGCGCAGGCGGGAGAUCAAGUCAGCGGUAAAAUGUCGGGGCUCAACGUGGGAACUGCCUUUGAAACUGGCAAACUGGAGUGUGUGAGAGGAUAGUGGAAUUCCAGGUGUAGGAGUGAAAUCCGUAGAUAUCUGGAGGAACAUCAGUGGCGAAGGCGACUAUCUGGCACAUAACUGACGCUGAGGAGCGAAAGCGUGGGUAGCAAACAGGAUUAGAUACCCGGGUAGUC
rnacentral:rRNA from 1 species